GGGGGUGACUGGCUUCGACGGGAAUCAAGAGGUCAACAGAGCGUGUCGAGCUCUCGGAGUCUCGUAAAACCUUCGGGAAAACAUUAGUUGCCAACGAUAAUUUGGCCCUCGCAGCUUAAUUGACUGCGACGUCUCUCCCCUUUUUGUCUGCGGGAGGGGAAGAGGCGACACUUUGCAGGCUGGUCCAAUGCUGAUGCUCAGAGGCGGCGGAUGAGAAC
rnacentral:tmRNA from 1 species